rnacentral:rRNA from 1 species
CGGCAGGCUUAACACAUGCAAGUCGAGCGCCCCGCAAGGGGAGCGGCAGACGGGUGAGUAACGCGUGGGAAUCUACCCUUUUCUACGGAAUAACGCAGGGAAACUUGUGCUAAUACCGUAUAAGCCCUUCGGGGGAAAGAUUUAUCGGGAAAGGAUGAGCCCGCGUUGGAUUAGCUAGUUGGUGGGGUAAAGGCCUACCAAGGCGACGAUCCAUAGCUGGUCUGAGAGGAUGAUCAGCCACAUUGGGACUGAGACACGGCCCAAACUCCUACGGGAGGCAGCAGUGGGGAAUAUUGGACAAUGGGCGCAAGCCUGAUCCAGCCAUGCCGCGUGAGUGAUGAAGGCCCUAGGGUUGUAAAGCUCUUUCACCGGUGAAGAUAAUGACGGUAACCGGAGAAGAAGCCCCGGCUAACUUCGUGCCAGCAGCCGCGGUAAUACGAAGGGGGCUAGCGUUGUUCGGAAUUACUGGGCGUAAAGCGCACGUAGGCGGACAUUUAAGUCAGGGGUGAAAUCCCGGGGCUCAACCCCCGAACUGCCUUUGAUACUGGGUGUCUAGAGUAUGGAAGAGG